GACGAACGCUGGCGGCGUGCUUAACACAUGCAAGUCGAACGGAAAGGCCCUGCUUUUGUGGGGUGCUCGAGUGGCGAACGGGUGAGUAACACGUGAGUAACCUGCCCUUGACUUUGGGAUAACUUCAGGAAACUUGGGCUAAUACCGGAUAGGAGCUCCUGCUGCAUGGUGGGGGUUGGAAAGUUUCGGCGGUUGGGGAUGGACUCGCGGCUUAUCAGCUUGUUGGUGGGGUAGUGGCUUACCAAGGCUUUGACGGGUAGCCGGCCUGAGAGGGUGACCGGCCACAUUGGGACUGAGAUACGGCCCAGACUCCUACGGGAGGCAGCAGUGGGGAAUAUUGCACAAUGGGCGGAAGCGUGAUGCAGCAACGCCGCGUGCGGGAUGACGGCCUUCGGGUUGUAAACCGCUUUCGCCUGUGACGAAGCGUGAGUGACGGUAAUGGGUAAAGAAGCACCGGCUAACUACGUG
rnacentral:rRNA from 1 species